rnacentral:rRNA from 1 species
AUUGAACGCUGGCGGCAGGCCUAACACAUGCAAGUCGAGCGGAUGAAGAGAGCUUGCUCUCUGAUUCAGCGGCGGACGGGUGAGUAAUGCCUAGGAAUCUGCCUGGUAGUGGGGGACAACGUUUCGAAAGGAACGCUAAUACCGCAUACGUCCUACGGGAGAAAGGGGGGGAUCUUCGGACCUCACGCUAUCAGAUGAGCCUAGGUACGAUUAGCUAGUUGGUGGGGUAAAGGCUCACCAAGGCGACGAUCGUUAACUGGUCUGAGAGGAUGAUCAGUCACACUGGAACUGAGACACGGUCCAGACUCCUACGGGAGGCAGCAGUGGGGAAUAUUGGACAAUGGGCGAAAGCCUGAUCCAGCCAUGCCGCGUGUGUGAAGAAGGUCUUCGGAUUGUAAAGCACUUUAAGUUGGGAGGAAGGGCAGUAAGUUAAUACCUUGCUGUUUUGACGUUACCGACAGAAUAAGCACCGGCUAACUUCGUGCCAGCCGCCGCCGUAA